rnacentral:lncRNA from 1 species
GUUCCGCUCAAGUUCCUCCGCCGCGACCUCAGGACAGGCCGAAGAGGCGCGCACUACUCACGUGUCUUCCAAGUGCUGCUCCAAGGUCGCCUCCAUCCCACCCACCGACCACUCCGGCUCAGAACCCAGCGGCACGGCACGUCCUUCUCCACCACAGGCCUCAGUCACUUGACGCGAGCGGGGCGUGGACCGUAACGGCGCCUCCAAAGGGACAAAAUUGAUCACGGUGCAACGUCCGCGUUCUUUACUGGAAAACAUCACUGCGCUUCCGUCGCACAGAGCCUGACGAAGGCUUGGGCUCCCCGCGCGGUGACCGUCGAGGUGACCUGCACCUGGCUCCAUGGCGGAACCGGCCGGCACGGAUUAUUCCCCUCUCGGGAGAGGUCUGCAGCCGGGCCUCAGUGCUUCAGUUCGUGGCCUGGCAUUUUGUGAAGAGUGUCUUCAUCUCUGCAUCCCUAGUGCAACAGAGCAUGACAAAAAUUCAACAAAUAUUUAUUGAAGAGUCUUGAUGUCUUUUGGGAAAGGAACUCUAUGGUUACCUUUACUCUAAGAUUAGAUGGGUGUUACUGAUUCUUACCUCAGAGAAGAGAAUGUCAUGGAGACAAAAUGACCUGCUUAGAGUUCUGCACCCCCCAGCAUGGAGAGCAGAGCGCAAAGAUUUCUUCCGGACUCCCACAUUCCCCUUGGAAUCCAAGAACUGGUCUACUGUCACAACACUUUAGUACCCUCUUGUAAGCCUGUGGACAAAUCCUCUGAUGCCUUGAUACCUCGGUUUUCCCCCACUAUAAAUGGGAAGAUAAAUUCACUAGAAACAGUACUUA